rnacentral:rRNA from 1 species
UACGUAGGGUGCGAGCGUUAAUCGGAAUUACUGGGCGUAAAGUGUGCGCAGGCGGCCGCGCAAGUCGAGUGUGAAAGCCCCGGGCUCAACCUGGGAAUUGCAUUCGAGACUGAAUAGCUAGGGUACGGUAGAGGGAAGCGGAAUUUCCGGUGUAGCGGUGAAAUGCGUAGAUAUCGGAAGGAACAUCAGUGGCGAAAGCGGCUUCCUGGACCAGUACCGACGUUCAGGCACGAAAGCGUGGGGAGCAAACAGG